rnacentral:tRNA from 1 species
GCGCCGUUAGCUCAGUUGGUAGAGCAGCUGACUCUAAUCAGCGGGUCCGGGGUUCGAAACCCUGACGGCGCACCA